UGCUCCAUUGAAAAAUUAGGCGCAGGGGACUCAAAAUCCCCCGCCGCAAGGCGUGCCGGUUCGAUUCCGGCCCUGGGCACCA
rnacentral:ncRNA from 20 species